UACGAAGGGGGCUAGCGUUGCUCGGAAUCACUGGGCGUAAAGCGCACGUAGGCGGCCUCUUAAGUCGGUGGUGAAAUCCUGGAGCUCAACUCCAGAACUGCCUUCGAUACUGGGAGUCUCGAGUCCGGGAGAGGUGAGUGGAACUGCGAGUGUAGAGGUGAAAUUCGUAGAUAUUCGCAAGAACACCAGUGGCGAAGGCGGCUCACUGGGCCGGUACUGACGCUGAGGUGCGAAAGCGUGGGGAGCAAACAGG
rnacentral:rRNA from 1 species